AUGGCUGUGCCUUAGGCUGUAGAGUCAGACCUAUUCCAUAUCUCUCAGACCAGCAACUGCUCAGGGCAUGGUUUUCUCAAGACAAGCGGAGAAUCUCUGAGAGAGUAAGCCAAGUCUCACAGUCAGCCUGGAGCUGCAGACUUGCUACAAGACAUGUACCAUCCAGACGCUGAGAAAACAAGGAAGGCAUCGAUAAGGGGGUGCUGAUUCCACCCCUCCAGCAGGACCCUGAGAUAACAGCAAGGAUGGGAGCAGAAACCAGACAGAGCCUUGAUGAGAUGUUGCACCUAGCUCCUUGCAUGGAGCCACCACAGCCCAUGUCCCCCUCCCUCCUGCUUUUCCUUUUCCACAGUCCAUUCCUUAAUCCUCUCUUUAAAACCCCCUCAAUAAAACUGAGUCUUUGAAAUGGU